CUGCCUGCAAGGCCAGGCACCCACACGACCCCUCGCUUUGUCUCUUUCUGUCUUGGAACCCAGGCCGUACUUGAGCUCCCAUCUGCUACCCCACACCCCACUGGCUGUUGCAAGAGUGAUGUUGCCAUUGGUGACCGCAGGUCUCCCAGCAGCCUGGUGCCGAGAGGCCACUUCAGGCUCUAACGGGGGCCCGGGUUUCCACGGGAGACGGCAGAGCCACGGUGUGGCAGGCGUCCAGCUCUCCCCUUGAUCAAUUCUGUGACUUGUCAGAAGACCCCCUACCCGUGGGCCUCGGUUUCCUCAUCUGUGAAACAACGGGAGUGACCUGGAGGGCCUCCGCCAGUCUCAGUCUAAGCCCUUAAGACAGAGGCAGACACUGUCGGCCUGUGAGCCCCUGGCUUUGCUCUUGCUUCAGGUCAGACAAAGAAAGGACUGGUGGUCUCUGGGCAUCCUGAGCCUGUCUCCAUGGAAACCAGCUCGCCCACCCCCUCUCUGGCAAGUGUCCUAAUGGGUGCCAUGGGAAACUGUGGACUCCAGUUGGCGGCCUUGCAUUUGAGAUCCCUGGCCCAGAGUAAUGGAGGGGACCUCAUCUUAUAGAAUAUACUGCGAGGGUGUGGAGAGGCUGUGGGGGAAGCACAGCCUGGUCAGCAGGCACUGGGUAUCCUGGCUUGAGCUCAGGGCACCUUUGUCCCAGGGCAGGACCCUCACGUCUUGGGCUGCUCCAUCCCCGUUGGGGUCUCCCUUCAUUCUUGAUGAAUGUCCACUCACAGAGGGGGCCCCAUGCCUCUCCAAAGACCCCCACCCUCCAGUCCUUGUGUCCCUGAGGUUGGCCCCCUGGUGGCCACCUCAUGGGGAAGGCCCUGGACACAGGGGCCCGGCCUAAUGCAGCAUGGCUCCAUCUUAACUAGUUAUGUCUGCAAAGACCCUGUCUCCAAACAAGGUCAUAUUUUGGGCUUCUGAGUGGAAGUCGAUUUGGGGGACACUCAUCAACCCAGCACAACGCUCCCUCUCACGAUGCUCUUUCAAGAGAAGGCUCUUGGACACCUGGAGGCCACCAGUCCAUUCUGGAUCCCCAGAGGCCACUAGUCCUUUCUCCCUCUGACCUGAAACAAGAGCUAGCAGGGGCUAGCAGGCCGACUGCAUCUGCUGCCUUUUUAGAUACUGGCCCCAGCCGCAAUGCCCAGGACUGAGUCAUGGAGAUUCCCUCAGAAAUGGUGCAGCCCAGUCUGUCCACAGAGUGAGGGGGGGACAAGCCUGGUGGCCCCGGCUUCAGUGCAGGCCAUCCUUUCCACCUGUUGUCUCCUCUUGGUCUCACAGGGGACCCAGUUCCUAUCCUCUGCCCUGAAGCAUGGCUACGACCCUCAUGGGCCACAAGCUUGACACCCUCAGGUGGCCAGACUGUGCCCCAGAUCCGGGGCUGGUAGCAGCAUGGGUGUGGUCAACUGGCACGCAGCUGUUACCCGGACACCCUCCCAUCAGCACUUUUUUGGGGGGUGAGUGAUAGAAACUCAACUUGGGCUUACAGGUGAAUUUACUGGUUCCUGUGAUCACAGAGUUCAAGGUUUAGCUGGACCCGGUGCCUCCAAGGAUGUCACCAAGUCUGUCUGUCCGUCUGAGUUCAGCGUCCUCCAGGUCUUCGCUCUCCAGCAGGCCUUCUCCUCAAAGUGGCCAGGUGGCUGUCAGCUCUGUGGUUCAUUCUACCAGUUUUAUCAAUCUCCACUCCUCAUUUUGCUCAAAUUCAGCUACUUUUCCCACAGGCCUUUGGUUCCUCUGGAUGUCGGCGUGCCCCUGUACCAGCACUGCCCUGGAUGUCAGCGUGCCCCUAUACCAGCACUGCCCUGGAUGUCGGCGUGCCCCUGUACCAGCACUGCCCUGGAUGUCGGCGUGCCCCUGUACCAGCACUGCCCUGGAUGUCGGCGUGCCCCUGUACCAGCACUGCCCUGGAUGUCGGCGUGCCCCUGUACCAGCACUGCCCCGACUUGUCACUCCAGGGACAGUGUGUCCACCCCUGGCCUAGCUCGUCAGAAACCUUUGUCUUCAUGUCAUCGUGUCCACUCAUGAUGUCCAAGGUCCUUCUGUCUUUAAAGAGCAUGGGGAGGAGGGGCAUUGUGCCGAGUUGAUGUGUGUCCCCCAAAUCCACUUCACUCAGAAGCUCAAAAUAUGACCUUAUUUGGAGACAGGGUCUUUGCAGAUGUAAUUAGUUAAGGUGAAGUCACGCUGCAUUAAGGCGGGCCCAGGGACUGGCGAUCUUAUAAAAAGAGGAGCAGACACAGAGACAGAUGCAGAGGGAGGGCGGCCAUGGAAAGACAAAAGCAGAGAGCAGAUGAUGCAGCCACAAGCCAUCGGAUGUCCAGGGCCACUGGGAGCUGAGGAGGUGAGGAAGGACGCCCCCAGGAGCCUACAGAGGGAGCACGACCGUGUCUGACAACUUCAGACUUCUGGCCUCCAGAUCAUCACGGCAGUACAUUUCUGCUGUUGUAAGCCACUCAUUUUGUGGGCCUCUGCUGCAGGAGCUCAAGUAAACUCAUUCAGGUAUUCAGGAUGGUUGCGCUGGGUCAGGAGAUGGGCCACACACGGUCUCUGGGCUGAAGGAGUGGGCACCAGAAACGCGUCCUCAGUUGACCACAUCUUGGCACUCAGCUUUGGUGACUCCCCCUGGUGUUGCUGAUGUCCCACCCUGGCCUCUAGGGUAUUCAGAGUCCUGCACCCCAACCCUGCUCCCUUCCUGCCCUGGCCUCAUCUCACCUCUGCAGUAGCAAGACUUUUCUGUGGCCUGAACCUAGAUCCUCUGCCACCUCUUCAUUCUUCUCCUUCAGUGUUGGUUCACCAAGAGCCUUGAGAGUCCCCAGGGCUGCAAGGGCACACAGAAAACCCACAGCUUCAUACACUGAGCUAUCACUCCUCAUCGACAGGACCUCAAGCCUCCAGUCCCAGCUCAGUCUAAUUCAAUCUCUGUAUCUUUGCUCAAACUCUUGCAAGGAAAUCUGACCGCCUUGGCCUGGCUGGGGCAUCCAGCGCUAUAUCUGGGGUGUGGCCUGAAACCCUUCCUUCCUUGGUAGGACUCAACCAGGGUUAAGGAAAGGGCAGAUUCCUUGGAGAAGCAUGAGGAGGUAGUGCUUCUGAGGACACUCAUGUAUGUGAAUGCCCAGUGCAGACGUAUGGAAAUGAUGUCAUCUACAUUUAGCCCCAUCCCUCUAGGGUGGGUGUCAUCAGAUUCCCAUCCCAGUUUGCAGCUGGAGCCUCGGGACUUGGAUUAAGUGCUCACCAAUGCUGGUAGAGAAGACUGUCGCUUCCCACCGCUCUCAGCACUUGUCAACUUGCGAGGUCUCAUGGCAAGUAAGUCCUGGCCACCCUGGUCGCCUCAUAGAGGAAGUGGCUUGGGCCAGAUGCCCUCCUCUGAGGUGAAUCUUGAGCUGGAGCUUCGGUGUGCACCUGGAGCACGUGGCUGGGGUGUUCAGCAAACCCUGGGCAGGGAGGACAGGCCGGCCAGGCCUCAGGCCCUGGCAUCUGCCUCUGUAGCGCAUUCAUCCACUUUGGGGGUCUUUGUGUCCCUAAAAGAGUCUGAAUAUGAAUCCACACUCAAGCAAAACCACGAAGGAGAUCAAAGCAGCUGCAAUGACACCGGAGGAGGCUCAUUCUCGUGGGAAACCUCAGAGUAAGACACAUCGGGGAGGCGCUGGCUACAGGGUCAUGACGGAGGUGAGAGGUUGAGGGUAAUGGACAGAAAGCAGCAUGCACCCAAGUCCAGGUGGCAGGGAAAACAGAGAGCAAGGAGGAAGCAAGACUGUGAGCAAAACAGGCCAAGAGAGGCCAGUCAGUCACAGAUGCCAGGCUCCAGCCCAACCUGCCCAGACCCUGCGUCUCAGAGGGCACCUGCCCUCCUCCAUGCACCCAACCUGCCCUGUCCCAUCUGUGUAGGGCUCCGUCUGUCUCCCCUGCAAAGUCAGGUGCUCCUCACUGGAAGGUAGGAACUGGGCUUCACCAUCUGGACUGCGCAAGACCUGCCUGGCCAUGAGAGGAGAACAAAGAGUUUUCUAGAAGGCUGGCUUGCUCACACAAGUGAAGAACUGCCCAGCAGAAGUAAUGCUUAGGCAAAGCAGGUGGGUACUGGUGGUGGUCACAGAUGCUGAGGUGAGCCACAGGCCUGAGCCAUCCAUUGUGGGGAUCUGGAAGCCAGUGUGGCUCCCACACACAGAGGUAGACAGUUCCUGGAGAACACCAGAGUCUAGGCCCCAGGGGCUGGGCGAACCUCAGAGGGCGUCCCACGCCAGCUUAAAGGCAGCUUGGAAUGUGGCAAUUGAUCAGUGGGUGCUGGGCAGCUCGCACCCCUGUGCAGACAGCCUUCUCCAUGGGCCAACAAGUGUGUCACAUGCAUGCAGAUGCGUGUGCAUAGGGCCAUGGGGGCCCAGGAGCCUUCCUACUGCAGAGUUCAAAGAUGUGGGCUGAAGAACGUUUGGAGAGCAUCCCCUGCCUGUGCUUCUGUUUUAACUCCAGGCCCCAAGCCUCCGCUGGGUGGGGGGCGGGCGCUGCUCCCAGCCUCCCAUGCAAGGGGCCCCAGAGGGAGGAAAAUGGCAGGCUGGGACAGAGGCACCACGUGAGAGCAGCUUUGUGAUAAAGCUGCCAGAUACACAAAGCAACAAAUAAAAAGGAAAAAGGGAACGGGACUCAGCACAAUUCACAAGUCACAAGGGGAUUGGCUCCAAGGAGCAGGUCCGUGGCUCAGCGGGUCCACUGGGGCUCUCUGGGCAGAGGGGCCUGGCGUUUCAGGUCCCCUCCAGAACCUUCACCCUGAGUGGCAAUGACAUUCCGUAGCCUUGAGGGGCAGGGACUCAGAGCUCGGCACCCUGGGGCUCUGGGGUGGAGGAUGAGGAUGAUCCAGAAUGGGGAGGCAGAAAUAGCCCCCCAUUCCUUUCUACUAGUUCUCAUGCCUCCAGCCCCUUGCUGCAGCCACACUGGCCUCAGUUACACUGGUUCGUUCCUGCUCCUCACCUGUACAGGGCCAGUUCCUGAACUGGGGGGGGGCUUUGUACAUACAGGCACCAGAACAUUCCUCCAGAGCUUCACUGGGGCCCUCCUCUUCAGCAUGACGGUCCCCGGCCACCUGAUCCAGAGCUGGCGGCUCCCAGGCAUAGCCCAUCCCUGCUGCGGCCCUGCACUACCCCAGUCCUCACCUGCAUGCAGGGGACUGUUCACAUGCUGACCGUCUGUCCAUCUCCUGUAAGGACGUCGGCUCCUUCCAUGUCUGCUGGGCUGAGGAUCCCUCACAGCCUCCCUGACCUCAGAGCCAUGAAAGACUUGCAAGGCUUGAAGCAAACUCUGAACGGGCCCUUCACAGAUAAAUUCUACCAGCAUGAUUAUACACAUCGAAAUCCUCAGGGGUCAGCACGAAGUGUCUGCAUAGACGUACCCAAACACCCGGGGCCUGGCAUUCCAAUAAACCCUCUGGACAGAGCGGCAUCUCCUCUUCACACAGUGAAACUAACUGCAGCUCUUCUCCUCCUGGAUGUGCAAGCGUCCACAAACAGGUAUUUUCCCCAUUUCCUGUUCGGUUCAAAGGUUAUUCCUAAAAAGCAGUCAUUGACCUGUUUUUCAUUUUUUGACUGAGAAAUGUAUUGACUAUGAACGCACAAAAUAUUUGCUGCACUGUAUACUCCUCUCUUACUGACACAAGAUCACUGGAAAAGCCAUCUCAGAAAAAAAUGGAAGAUUUCAGGAGGAGCUGGAGUGAAAGAAACCCAAGGUCGUUCAGCUCAUUACAUGUUAGUUAAAUGUUACAGUUUCAUAUAUUUAAAAAAACCCCAGAUACUCCCUUAAAAAAAUUAGUCUUUUCCUGUGUGUAUUUUAUCUCAAAUAAAAAAGGAUUCUAAUUUUAUCUGUGUUCAUAAGUCGAUAAAAAAAUGGUUAGGCUGGGGUUGUUUACUUUUUCAUAAGAUUCUCUGA